rnacentral:rRNA from 1 species
GACGAACGCUGGCGGCGUGCUUAACACAUGCAAGUCGAACGGAAAGGCCCUGCUUUUGUGGGGUGCUCGAGUGGCGAACGGGUGAGUAACACGUGAGUAACCUGCCCUUGACUUUGGGAUAACUUCAGGAAACUGGGGCUAAUACCGGUUAGGAGCUCCUGCUGCAUGGUGGGGGUUGGAAAGUUUCGGCGGUUGGGGAUGGACUCGCGGCUUAUCAGCUUGUUGGUGGGGUAGUGGCUUACCAAGGCUUUGACGGGUAGCCGGCCUGAGAGGGUGACCGGCCACAUUGGGACUGAGAUACGGCCCAGACUCCUACGGGAGGCAGCAGUGGGGAAUAUUGCACAAUGGGCGGAAGCCUGAUGCAGCAACGCCGCGUGCGGGAUGACGGCCUUCGGGUUGUAAACCGCCUUCGCCUGUGACGAAGCGUGAGUGACGGUAAUGGGUAAAGAAGCACCGGCUAACUACGUG